rnacentral:rRNA from 1 species
GAUGAACGCUGGCGGCGUGCCUAAUACAUGCAAGUCGAGCGAACAGACGAGGAGCUUGCUCCUCUGACGUUAGCGGCGGACGGGUGAGUAACACGUGGAUAACCUACCUAUAAGACUGGGAUAACUUCGGGAAACCGGAGCUAAUACCGGAUAAUAUAUUGAACCGCAUUGUUCAAUAGUGAAAGACGGUUUUGCUGUCACUUAUAGAUGGAUCCGCGCCGCAUUAGCUAGUUGGUAAGGUAACGGCUUACCAAGGCAACGAUGCGUAGCCGACCUGAGAGGGUGAUCGGCCACACUGGAACUGAGACACGGUACAGACUCCUACGGGAGGCAGCAGUAGGGAAUCUUCCGCAAUGGGGGAAAGCCUGACGGAGCAAAGCCGCGUGAGUGAUGAAGGUCUUCGGAUCGUAAAACUCUGUUAUUAGGGAAGAACAAAUGUGUAAGUAACUAUGCACGUCUUGACGGUACCUAAUCAGAAAGCCACGGCUAACUACGUG